CUUGCUGCGUCAGAUUGCAACUACCUGCGGGAUGGCAUGUAAAGUCUGCUGCCGUCUGCUCGCCGUGGAUGUCAGAUCGCUGCGCCUGGUCGUUGUCAGCAGCGGCUGAACAAGGAUAAGUGAAGUCCGUGACCAACCACUGAACUUUGUGGUGAAACUUUUCUAUUUCUUCCUUCAGUUUUUAGUUUCAGAUUUUGUAAUGUGUUCUGCAGGUGUGCAAACUCUAAUUGAUCUCAUUUCAGGUUUGGUUUGUACUGUAAGACGAUAUACACCUUCGAUCAGAACUGAAGAACGGCAGCCUGUACAUCUGCUGAAGCCUCUAAUUGACAUAUUGCUUUGAUAUUGGAAUAACCAACUAUGUUUCGAGUUUGUCGUCAACCCAAUGCUGAGGAUGUUACUUGGUUCAGCCACACUGCUAUGUCCAUAAUCGCAGAAUUCUUUAGGAGGUUUCCCGUUUCAGACAAUUUUCGUGGGAAAGCUAUCUAGCUGAGAAGAGAAGCCUUAAUGAACGUGGAUUUUUUUAUAUAAAAACUGAUGAAGCCGUUAGUCCUACUGCAUGGUGAUGUCCUGCCGACUCUAAUUAGGUCACAUAUAUCGCGUGGUAUAUGUGAUAAGCUAUCUCAAAACCAAUCAAAUAUAUGCAGGUCAGAGAUCACGUAUAUAAUUUUCUGUAGUUAAAGAUGUAUCUCGGCAAACUUCCUGCUGCAAAUUUCUUGUGCGUGUUGCGCAGAUUUGAGAGUACAGGGACCAAGAAACUAAGCAAUACCUACAUGAGUUAGAUUUCAUUGUUGUUGACGACGAGGUACUUCAUCCAUUAUUUUGACAGUUAAUCCACUUAGUUACCAUGAUUAAUGGACUUACAGUUAGCCCAUCUUAUCAUAUUAAUCUCUAUACAUAGCAGUUUAAGACAUGAGAACAAUAUAUACCUAUCUAUUCUCUGCCAAAUGUAUUUUUGUACACAUUUGCUACUUACCAGCUUUACAAGAUGUACUGUGUAUUUCACAUUAUUGAUGUGCCAUUCUUUUGUAAAUUCCCAAUUUUGAAUCCAAAUGACUCUUUUCGUCGCAUGUAUUAUCUACUUUCGCCUUCUUAGACUAAUAAGCCAUCUGUUUGACAUGGAGGAGCAGAUGAAUAAUUAUGUUGAUGUAGGAGAAUAUAAAGUAAAGAUUAGUGAAGUUUCAGGUUUCUUUCGAACUACUCUUUGGACAUCAUAUCGAUUAGUACAAGUGAUGCAUUUCACAAAAUUGAUCCAGUGCUUUUCCAUGGGAACAUACACCACCAGUUCAUCCUCACACAUCACACACAUGAACCCCAUGGGCCAACAUUCUGUAAGACUCCCUGCAAUUCUUAAGUUGUACAGUCAUUUCCAAAUAGAUAAAGCCAGUACCCCAAAACAGUAGCUACUAGCUGAUGGCAUGGUAACUCCAAUCCAGAUGGUCAGUAUCCUUGGAUACUAGGUUGCAGCUCACCAUCUGGCUUGGAUGGGUCAGUUUUGCAGAUGCAACAGGUUCAGAUUUUACCACCCUUUCAAGCAUCUUAGCGGAGGAGGGAUCGAAUUGGCUGGUCCUGCCUUGCGCCCUGCACAUAGGACCGGCCUCAUCUGUUGAGUUUCUCUCUGAUUUUUCC